CACAAAAAUAACUUGAGGUCCUGUGAGCAUAGAGGGAGUUGGCAGCCAGCUGCCUACAAGCCAAGAGAAGCAGCUUCAGAAUGAAAGCUGCCUUGUCAGCACCUUGGUCUUGAAACUGUAAGAAAUCAAUUUCUGUCGUUUAAGCCCCCCAGUCUUUGGAAUUUUGUUAUGGCAGCCCAAACUGACUAAGACAGUAUCUACUAGAAGGUUCAAGUCUGAAGAGGAAAAAAGUUUGCUUUCUGCUCCGAAGGCUUGUAUGGAAUUAGAUUCGUGUGUUAGAGACACACACGUAAAGACAAAUGCACAGGCAGAAGACACUCCCAACUUCUUCUGCAUCUGGAUUUCCUGAGUCAGAAGGUAUCUUCCAGGGAUCUGAAGUGUAGAAAGAUGGAAAUCACAAGACUAUGGAGACUUGCAAACAUUCACCAGCAGUACCUUCAGAGCAAUCAACACAGCAGAAGGAGGAAGAAGUUAAAGCUCCAUGUUUUGCCCCAAAGGGAAAAGUGUUAAAACUGACCUUUGAAACUAUAGGAUGAUAACAUUUAAAGGAAAUUUAAAGUUCAGCCACCACAAGUACUUGGCAGUUCUACCAUAUUCCUGACAAGAGAUCAUUCAUUCAACGAAUGCCUAAGUCCCUAGUGAUAAAGGACUUAAAUAUUUCCUCCAAUGAGAGAGUCUUACUGCUCCCAGUUUCUAUCUGGUUGACUUAUUUUGGGAACAACUUAGGAAUCUUUCUUCUACAUGAAUAGUCACAUAAAUAUUCCCAUAUAUUAAUAAAAACAGUUAUUACACAUCUAUAUUGUUAGUUUUUUGAGGGACCUCUGUAUCAUUUUCCAGAAUGGCUGUGCUAAUUUACAUUUACACCAACAGUGUAUAAGAUUCCCUUUUCUCCACACCCUCACCAAAACUUACUACCUUUUGCAUUUUUGAUAAAAGCCAUUCUAACAGGUGAAAUAUGGUAUUUCAUUGUGGUCUUAAUUUGUGUUUCUCUGAUGAUUAGCAAUGUUGAGGAUUUUUUCAUGUAUCCACUGGGCAUUUGUAUGUCUUCUUCAUGAGAAUGUGGGGAAUCAAAAACAAUUUAACUAAUAGAAGCAGAGAGUAGAAUGAUGUUUAUAGAGGCUGCGGGUGGGAGAAUGGAGAGAUGAUGCUCAAAAGGUACAAAAUCCUAGACAAGAGGAACAUGGUGUUUUUUCCCCCCUUUUUGGAGGUUCUAUUGCCCAACUUGUUGAAUAUAGUUAAUAGUAAGAGUGCUGUAAAUUUCAAAAUUGAUAAGAGAGUAAGUUUCAAAUGUUCUCAUUACAGAAAUGUUCCAUAUUUGAGGUGAUGAAUGUAUUAACUAGUUUGAUUUUUAAUUAUUUCACAUCUUGUUGAUUAUUACUUCACUUUGUAUGCCAUAAAAAUUAUAUAAUUAUAAAUGGUCGAUUUUAUAAUAGGAACAAAGUAUCAACUGGAAUGUCACAAAAAAUAAUUUAAAAAUAAAAAGAGUUCAGGCCCUUCCUGGGGCUUCUCUUUCUAAUUUAAAUGUCUCUUACUUUAAGAUUUACACUUGGCAGGUCAUGAGGUCAGGAGAUCGAGACCAUCCUGGCUAGCAUGGUAAAACCCCGU
rnacentral:lncRNA from 10 species